rnacentral:misc_RNA from 1 species
UCCGAGUUGACCCCGGCAGUCUCCUGCGAGUCCCCGCCAUUACGCGCUGGCAACACAGGACAAGGGUUGCGCUCGUUGCGGGACUUAACCCAACAUCUCACGACACGAGCUGACGACAGCCAUGCACCACCUGUAUACCGACCACAAGGGGGGCCGUAUCUCUACGGCUUUCCGGUAUAUGUCAAACCCAGGUAAGGUGGGGAUGACGUUCGUCUGAC